rnacentral:rRNA from 1 species
AACAUAAGAGUUUGAUCCUGGCUCAGGAUGAACGCUGGCGGCGUGCUUAACACAUGCAAGUCGAACGAAGAUACUUAAAAUGAGAGCUUCGGCAGGAUUUUUAUUUAUCUUAGUGGCGGACGGGUGAGUAACGUGUGGGCAACCUGCCCUAUACUGGGGAAUAAUCACUGGAAACGGUGACUAAUACCGCAUGUCAUUACGGAAGGGCAUCCUUCUGUAAGAAAAGGAGUAAUUCGGUAUAGGAUGGGCCCGCAUCUGAUUAGCUAGUUGGUGAGAUAACAGCCCACCAAGGCGACGAUCAGUAGCCGACCUGAGAGGGUGAUCGGCCACAUUGGGACUGAGACACGGCCCAAACUCCUACGGGAGGCAGCAGUGGGGAAUAUUGCACAAUGGGGGAAACCCUGAUGCAGCAACGCCGCGUGAAGGAUGAAGGUUUUCGGAUCGUAAACUUCUAUCAAUAGGGACGAAGAAAGUGACGGUACCUAAAUAAGAAGCCCCGGCUAACUACGUGCCAGCAGCCGCGGUAAUACGUAGGGGGCAAGCG